GAUAGAUGAAGAACGCAGCGAAAUGCGAUAAGUAAUGCGAAUUGCAGAAUUUCCGUGAGUCAUCGAAUCUUUGAACGCACAUUGCGCCCUUUGGCAUUCCGAAGGGCAUGCCUGUUCGAGCGUCAUUAUCCCCCCUCAAACCUCGGGUUUGGUGUUGGGCCCGCGUUUGUUGGCGACGACCAACUGGCCCCAAAGGCAAUGACGGCUCCCACUGGGACCCUUGGUGCAAUGAGCUUCUUUCGAGAGCACGCAUCGAGUGUUCGGACCCGGUGGGCCGGUCUCCCUUAUUACUUUCUAAGGUUGACCUCGGAUCAGGUAGGAAUACCCGCUGAACUUAAGCAUAUCAAUAAGCGGAGGA
rnacentral:misc_RNA from 1 species